rnacentral:rRNA from 1 species
AACGAACGCUGGCGGCAUGCCUAACACAUGCAAGUCGAACGAGACCUUCGGGUCUAGUGGCGCACGGGUGCGUAACGCGUGGGAACCUGCCCUUAGGUUCGGAAUAACUCCCCGAAAGGGGUGCCAAUACCGGAUAAUGUCUUCGGACCAAAGAUUUAUCGCCUUUGGAUGGGCCCGCGUUGGAUUAGCUAGUUGGUAGGGUAAAAGCCUACCAAGGCGACGAUCCAUAGCUGGUCUGAGAGGAUGAUCAGCCACACUGGGACUGAGACACGGCCCAGACUCCUGCGGGAGGCAGCAGGGGGGAAUAUUGGACAAUGGGCGAGAGCCUGAUCCAGCAAUGCCGUGUGAGUGAUGAAGGCCUGAGGGUUGUAAAGCUCUUUUACCCGGGAAGAUAAUGACAGUACCGGGAGAAUAAGCGCCGGCUAACCCCGUG